ensembl:lncRNA
CUCUGGUUUAUUCUCGCCGUCGCUAUGGCGACCCCAAGUACACCCCUCUCGCUCUGGAAGAGGGGAGAUGCGUUCCAUGAUAUUAUCUCUCUUCCCUUGGGAGACGCCUUGAGCAGGGUGGUGAAAGAGAUCUUUACCAAAUAUGAUAAGAACAACAGCGCUGUUGAAACCACGUCCGCCGUGAAACAGGGGUCCACAGGGGUUUCUGAAGGCCCAGCGCACUCUGUGGGUUACGAAGAAUGCGAUGAUGUCAGUAUGAGGUCGACAGAGGUUUCCACGCCAGCAAACCCUCCUGAUUGUAACAUGGUACGUUUUGAGAACAGCGACACGGAGGAGAGCAUGUCAAUAGGCCACUUUGGAUCAGACUAUGAUGAUGAUGAUGAUGAUGAUGAUGAUGAUGAUGAUGAUGAUGAUGAUGAUGAUGCUCCUGGAGCCAAACCUGACCACCUUGCAUGGCAGAGAGUCACAAUUCAGGCCCCGCUGGAUGGAUGGAAAAGGACAGCCUUAGACAGUAAGUGCGCGGACCGUAAAUUCACGCCUGGUUCUGAUACAUCGAUCAGGUGUAUGCGCUGCGAGGCCUACAAGGCGCAUUGCAAAUCCGCGGCUGAGAACUACAGACGGGUCCUGACCAGCUACACCAAGACCGUUUCAGAACUCAUGAUCGGCUUCAAGAAGGUCCUGGAGAGGUACCCCGAGCUCCGGGUCCACGCGAGCGAUGAUCAUGUUUUCUACAUGGUUCAGGCUGCAAUGGGACGAAACAACCUAGUUCGGGAGAUGGUUCGUCUGGCUGCAAAGAGACAGGCGCAAGAGACAGUCCAAGACCAGGAGGAGGAACCUCAUCGGGGAUGGGGAAAGCGCUGCCCAGCUGCUGCAUCGAUCCAGGAAGCCCUGAACACGUGCUACACUGACGGCGAGGCGCUCAGGAUGAUCCUUCAGCGCUACAUUGACCUGUACGUUCGUUACAUGGAUGUGUGGCGAGAAAUGUGUUCCAAGGUGGAGAGCGACUCCAUCACUUUGAUGGAUUUUAUAAACUUGACUCAGAACAGGCCGGGCGUGAGCCACGGGGAGCCUUGGUCUGAGGCGAAAGCCUACGUGGCGCGUAUGCUAGACAAGGUGCACUCUGUCACACCCAGGGCCGUUGGAGAUGCCUGCGCCGAUGCACUAAAGACGAUAGAUUUUAGCCUCUCGUCAGCCCCUAAAAAUUUUGACCAACGCAAAGGGGUCAUCGAUGCGGCGAUAGAGUGCGUCCGCCGCCACCUGGACUCAAAUUCAGGGAAAUGGAGUUGGGAUUCUUGUGCAAGCGAGCUGUACUUUGAGAUUCGCAGUGACCUCACGGUCCUGGAGGCCUUGGUCGGCGUAGGAGAAAUCUCAGUGAAGACUGUCCUGUACGAGAGGGCUAUGCUCGUUUCAAGAGUGAGGAACAUGACCAGAAACGAGGGUUCUCUGGAACUGCACAUUGGUCACAUUCAAGCAAAGUUCAAAGAGUCUGAGAAGCGACUCAGAUAUGCCGAAAGCCAAAAAGCGCUGUGUUGAUACACCUCACACCCCACUUGAAAUAUUACAGGUGUCUGUGUGUUUGUGUGUGUGUGUGUGUGUGUGUGUGUGUGUGUGUGUGUGUGUGUGUGUGUGUGUAGUCACUUAAAUUGAAAUUGCUUGACAGCUACUAAUAUGUACCAAAACUUGUAAUGUAAUGUAAAGUUUGUUGUCUGAGGCCAAGCUGGCUCCUGUGUCCUUUUUGCUAGAAACAGCAUUUUUGUACAUUGAGACUAACUUGGUCUUUGGUUAUAAAUUAAAUAUAUAUUCAAAUAAAUAAUAGCUACAAACCUACACAACGUCUACAACAGAAGAUGAAUAGACAAAUUGUAAUUCCUGUAUAACCAAAGUAAACAUUACAGACAUUACAGAUGGUAAAGGCAACAUUUUAUCACUAAUUUC